rnacentral:lncRNA from 1 species
UAUAUUAUGUGAAAUUUAUUUUAAUCUCAAAACUAAUUAAAAUUACUAUAUGUACCAAAUAGUGCCAUCUAUAUAUGCAACUCUCCAACUAGGAAUCGAAGAGUCUUAGAAAUCAUAAAGUUACUUUCACUAAAUAUUCUAAAAAUUUAUAUUUUUACUUUCACUCGUUAGGUGGCUACACACUUGUAUUUGAGAAUCUCGUUUUAUAUUCAAAUUAAUUAUAAGUAGUGGAUAGGUAGCCGAUACCGGUGACUUGUUCUGUAGCCGGUAGUCGCUUAUUAAUGGUCUAAAUCAUGUAUAAAUCAAGGGUAUGUUUAGUUUAGGUUAUGUUUAUGUUUGCUUCGUGUUUGAGUAAUAUAUAUUAUUCAGUAUAAUAUAUUCUUUAUCUAUGCUUCGUCUGCUCCUGUGUUUGUUUUGUAUAAAGUUUAAAGCAUUGAAUUGAAUUAAAGGUUGAAAGACCAAAAGGACAAGAUGUAACCGUAAUUGGUUUACAAAAAAAAAAAA